GGUUAAGCGACUAAGCGUACACGGUGGAUGCCCUGGCAGUCAGAGGCGAUGAAGGACGUGCUAAUCUGCGAAAAGCGCCGGCGAGGUGAUAUGAACCCUUGACCCGGCGAUGUCCGAAUGGGGAAACCCAGUGUGUUCCGACACACUAUCGUUAACUGAAUACAUAGGUUAACGAGGCGAACCGGGGGAACUGAAACAUCUAAGUACCCCGAGGAAAAGAAAUCAACCGAGAUUCCCCCAGUAGCGGCGAGCGAACGGGGAGCAGCCCGGAGUCUGAAUCAGCUUGUGUGUUAGUGGAACGGUCUGGAAAGUCCGACGGUACAGGGUGAUAGUCCCGUACACGAAAAUGCACAGGUUGUGAACUCGAAGAGUAGGGCGGGACACGUGGUAUCCUGUCUGAAUAUGGGGGGACCAUCCUCCAAGGCUAAAUACUCCUGACUGACCGAUAGUGAACCAGUACCGUGAGGGAAAGGCGAAAAGAACCCCGGCGAGGGGAGUGAAAAAGAACCUGAAACCGUGUACGUACAAGCAGUGGGAGCACCUUCGGGUGUGACUGCGUACCUUUUGUAUAAUGGGUCAGCGACUUAUAUUCUGUAGCAAGGUUAACCGUAUAGGGGAGCCGAAGGGAAACCGAGUCUUAACUGGGCGUUAAGUUGCAGGGUAUAGACCCGAAACCCGGUGAUCUAGCCAUGGGCAGGUUGAAGGUUGGGUAACACUAACUGGAGGACCGAACCGACUAAUGUUGAAAAAUUAGCGGAUGACCUGUGGCUGGGGGUGAAAGGCCAAUCAAACCGGGAGAUAGCUGGUUCUCCCCGAAAGCUAUUUAGGUAGCGCCUCGUGAACUCAUCUUCGGGGGUAGAGCACUGUUUCGGCUAGGGGGCCAUCCCGGCUUACCAACCCGAUGCAAACUACGAAUACCGAAGAAUGUUAUCACGGGAGACACACGGCGGGUGCUAACGUCCGUCGUGAAGAGGGAAACAACCCAGACCGCCAGCUAAGGUCCCAAAGUCAUGGUUAAGUGGGAAACGAUGUGGGAAGGCACAGACAGCCAGGAUGUUGGCUUAGAAGCAGCCAUCAUUUAAAGAAAGCGUAAUAGCUCACUGGUCGAGUCGGCCUGCGCGGAAGAUGUAACGGGGCUAAACCAUGCACCGAAGCUGCGGCAGCGACACUAUGUGUUGUUGGGUAGGGGAGCGUUCUGUAAGCCGUUGAAGGUGUGCUGUGAGGCAUGCUGGAGGUAUCAGAAGUGCGAAUGCUGACAUAAGUAACGAUAAAGCGGGUGAAAAGCCCGCUCGCCGGAAGACCAAGGGUUCCUGUCCAACGUUAAUCGGGGCAGGGUGAGUCGACCCCUAAGGCGAGGCCGAAAGGCGUAGUCGAUGGGAAACAGGUUAAUAUUCCUGUACUUGGUGUUACUGCGAAGGGGGGACGGAGAAGGCUAUGUCAGCCGGGCGACGGUUGUCCCGGUUUAAGCAUGUAGGCGGAGGUUCCAGGUAAAUCCGGUACCUUGUUAACGCUGAGGUGUGAUGACGAGGCACUACGGUGCUGAAGUGAUAAAUGCCCUGCUUCCAGGAAAAGCCUCUAAGCAUCAGGUAACACGAAAUCGUACCCCAAACCGACACAGGUGGUCAGGUAGAGAAUACCAAGGCGCUUGAGAGAACUCGGGUGAAGGAACUAGGCAAAAUGGUGCCGUAACUUCGGGAGAAGGCACGCUGAUAUGUAGGUGAAGCCCCUGCGGGCGGAGCUGAAAUCAGUCGAAGAUACCAGCUGGCUGCAACUGUUUAUUAAAAACACAGCACUGUGCAAACACGAAAGUGGACGUAUACGGUGUGACGCCUGCCCGGUGCCGGAAGGUUAAUUGAUGGGGUUAGCGGCAACGCGAAGCUCUUGAUCGAAGCCCCGGUAAACGGCGGCCGUAACUAUAACGGUCCUAAGGUAGCGAAAUUCCUUGUCGGGUAAGUUCCGACCUGCACGAAUGGCGUAAUGAUGGCCAGGCUGUCUCCACCCGAGACUCAGUGAAAUUGAACUCGCUGUGAAGAUGCAGUGUACCCGCGGCAAGACGGAAAGACCCCGUGAACCUUUACUAUAGCUUGACACUGAACACUGGUCCUUGAUGUGUAGGAUAGGUGGGAGGCUUUGAAGCGUGGACGCCAGUCUGCGUGGAGCCAUCCUUGAAAUACCACCCUUUAAUGGCUGGUGUUCUAACGUAGACCCGUGAUCCGGGUUGCGGACAGUGUCUGGUGGGUAGUUUGACUGGGGCGGUCUCCUCCCAAAGAGUAACGGAGGAGCACGAAGGUUGGCUAAUCCUGGUCGGACAUCAGGAGGUUAGUGCAAUGGCAUAAGCCAGCUUGACUGCGAGCGUGACGGCGCGAGCAGGUGCGAAAGCAGGUCAUAGUGAUCCGGUGGUUCUGAAUGGAAGGGCCAUCGCUCAACGGAUAAAAGGUACUCCGGGGAUAACAGGCUGAUACCGCCCAAGAGUUCAUAUCGACGGCGGUGUUUGGCACCUCGAUGUCGGCUCAUCACAUCCUGGGGCUGAAGUAGGUCCCAAGGGUAUGGCUGUUCGCCAUUUAAAGUGGUACGCGAGCUGGGUUUAGAACGUCGUGAGACAGUUCGGUCCCUAUCUGCCGUGGGCGCUGGAGAAUUGAGGGGGGCUGCUCCUAGUACGAGAGGACCGGAGUGGACGCAUCACUGGUGUUCGGGUUGUCAUGCCAAUGGCACUGCCCGGUAGCUAAAUGCGGAAGAGAUAAGUGCUGAAAGCAUCUAAGCACGAAACUUGCCCCGAGAUGAGUUCUCCCUGAGACCUUGAGUCUCCUGAAGGAACGUUGAAGACGACGACGUUGAUAGGUCGGGUGUGUAAGCGCAGCGAUGCGUUGAGCUAACCGAUACUAAUGAACCGUGAGGCUUAACCUU
rnacentral:rRNA from 1 species